GCCCCCGGACGCACCGGCCCAGGCGCGCGGGGCCCCGCGGCUGCUGUUGCUCGCAGUCCUGCUGGCGGCGCACCCAGAUGCCCAGGCGGAGGUGCGCUUGUCUGUGCCCCCGCUGGUGGAGGUGAUGCGAGGAAAUUCUGUCAUUCUGGACUGCACCCCUACGGGAACCCACGACCAUUAUAUGCUGGAAUGGUUCCUUACCGACCGCUCGGGAGCUCGCCCCCGCCUAGCCUCGGCUGAGAUGCAGGGCUCUGAGCUCCAGGUCACAAUGCAUGACACCCGGGGCCGCAGUCCCCCAUACCAGCUGGACUCCCAGGGGCGCCUGGUGCUGGCUGAGGCCCAGGUGGGCGACGAGCGAGACUACGUGUGCGUGGUGAGGGCAGGGGCGGCAGGCACUGCUGAGGCCACUGCGCGGCUCAACGUGUUUGCAAAGCCAGAGGCCACUGAGGUCUCCCCCAACAAAGGGACACUGUCUGUGAUGGAGGACUCUGCCCAGGAGGUACCUCUCGGGUGGACCUUGGCCCCAGGGUCCUGGAGGAGGAGGGGACAGGGCCCUGGACCCCUGGGUCUGAGGGAGGAGGGGCUGGGGACCCCUGGGUAAUAAAGGAGGAGGGGUAAGGCCAGGCGAGGUGGCUCAUGCCUGUAAUCCCAGCAUUUUGGGAGGCAGAGGCAGGCGGAUCACCUGAGGUCAGGAGUUCCAGACCAGCCUGGCCAACAUAAUGAAACCCCGUCUCUACUAAAGAUACAAAAAUUAGCCGGGUGUGUUGGUGUGCAACUGUAAUCCCAGCUGCUCGGGAGGCUGAGACAGGAGAAUCACUCGAACCCAGAAGGCAGAGGCUACAGUGAGCUAAGAUCACACCACUGCACUCCAGCCUGGGCCACAGAGCAAUACUCCGUCUCAAAA
rnacentral:sRNA from 1 species